rnacentral:rRNA from 1 species
GGGUUGUGAGGUUAAGCGACUAAGCGUACACGGUGGAUGCCCUGGCAGUCAGAGGCGAUGAAGGACGUGCUAAUCUGCGAAAAGCGUCGGUAAGGUGAUAUGAACCGUUAUAACCGGCGAUGUCCGAAUGGGGAAACCCAGUGCAAUUCGUUGCACUAUCGUUAACUGAAUACAUAGGUUAACGAGGCGAACCGGGGGAACUGAAACAUCUAAGUACCCCGAGGAAAAGAAAUCAACCGAGAUUCCCCCAGUAGCGGCGAGCGAACGGGGAGCAGCCCAGAGUCUGAAUCAGCUUGUGUGUUAGUGGAACGGUCUGGAAAGUCCGACGGUACAGGGUGAUAGUCCCGUACACCAAAAUGCACAGGUUGUGAACUCGAAGAGUAGGGCGGGACACGUGGUAUCCUGUCUGAAUAUGGGGGGACCAUCCUCCAAGGCUAAAUACUCCUGACUGACCGAUAGUGAACCAGUACCGUGAGGGAAAGGCGAAAAGAACCCCGGCGAGGGGAGUGAAAAAGAACCUGAAACCGUGUACGUACAAGCAGUGGGAGCACCUUCGGGUGUGACUGCGUACCUUUUGUAUAAUGGGUCAGCGACUUAUAUUCUGUAGCAAGGUUAACCGUAUAGGGGAGCCGCAGGGAAACCGAGUCUUAACUGGGCGUUAAGUUGCAGGGUAUAGACCCGAAACCCGGUGAUCUAGCCAUGGGCAGGUUGAAGGUUGGGUAACACUAACUGGAGGACCGAACCGACUAAUGUUGAAAAAUUAGCGGAUGACUUGUGGCUGGGGGUGAAAGGCCAAUCAAACCGGGAGAUAGCUGGUUCUCCCCGAAAGCUAUUUAGGUAGCGCCUCGUGAACUCAUCUUCGGGGGUAGAGCACUGUUUCGGCUAGGGGGUCAUCCCGACUUACCAACCCGAUGCAAACUACGAAUACCGAAGAAUGUUAUCACGGGAGACACACGGCGGGUGCUAACGUCCGUCGUGAAGAGGGAAACAACCCAGACCGCCAGCUAAGGUCCCAAAGUCAUGGUUAAGUGGGAAACGAUGUGGGAAGGCACAGACAGCCAGGAUGUUGGCUUAGAAGCAGCCAUCAUUUAAAGAAAGCGUAAUAGCUCACUGGUCGAGUCGGCCUGCGCGGAAGAUGUAACGGGGCUAAACCAUGCACCGAAGCUGCGGCAGCGACACUAUGUGUUGUUGGGUAGGGGAGCGUUCUGUAAGCCUGCGAAGGUGUGCUGUGAGGCAUGCUGGAGGUAUCAGAAGUGCGAAUGCUGACAUAAGUAACGAUAAAGCGGGUGAAAAGCCCGCUCGCCGGAAGACCAAGGGUUCCUGUCCAACGUUAAUCGGGGCAGGGUGAGUCGACCCCUAAGGCGAGGCCGAAAGGCGUAGUCGAUGGGAAACAGGUUAAUAUUCCUGUACUUGGUGUUACUGCGAAGGGGGGACGGAGAAGGCUAUGUUAGCCGGGCGACGGUUGUCCCGGUUUAAGCAUGUAGGCUGGUUGUCCAGGCAAAUCCGGAUAAUCAAGGCUGAGGUGUGAUGACGAGGCACUACGGUGCUGAAGUAACAAAUGCCCUGCUUCCAGGAAAAGCCUCUAAGCAUCAGGUAACAUCAAAUCGUACCCCAAACCGACACAGGUGGUCAGGUAGAGAAUACCAAGGCGCUUGAGAGAACUCGGGUGAAGGAACUAGGCAAAAUGGUGCCGUAACUUCGGGAGAAGGCACGCUGGUGUGUAGGUGAAGCCCCUGCGGGUGGAGCUGAGACCAGUCGAAGAUACCAGCUGGCUGCAACUGUUUAUUAAAAACACAGCACUGUGCAAACACGAAAGUGGACGUAUACGGUGUGACGCCUGCCCGGUGCCGGAAGGUUAAUUGAUGGGGUUAUCCGUAAGGAGAAGCUCUUGAUCGAAGCCCCGGUAAACGGCGGCCGUAACUAUAACGGUCCUAAGGUAGCGAAAUUCCUUGUCGGGUAAGUUCCGACCUGCACGAAUGGCGUAAUGAUGGCCAGGCUGUCUCCACCCGAGACUCAGUGAAAUUGAACUCGCUGUGAAGAUGCAGUGUACCCGCGGCAAGACGGAAAGACCCCGUGAACCUUUACUAUAGCUUGACACUGAACAUUGAGCCUUGAUGUGUAGGAUAGGUGGGAGGCUUUGAAGCGUGGACGCCAGUCUGCGUGGAGCCAACCUUGAAAUACCACCCUUUAAUGUUUGAUGUUCUAACGUUGGCCCCUUACCGGGGUUGCGGACAGUGUCUGGUGGGUAGUUUGACUGGGGCGGUCUCCUCCCAAAGCGUAACGGAGGAGCACGAAGGUUAGCUAAUCCUGGUCGGACAUCAGGAGGUUAGUGCAAUGGCAUAAGCUAGCUUGACUGCGAGCGUGACGGCGCGAGCAGGUGCGAAAGCAGGUCAUAGUGAUCCGGUGGUUCUGAAUGGAAGGGCCAUCGCUCAACGGAUAAAAGGUACUCCGGGGAUAACAGGCUGAUACCGCCCAAGAGUUCAUAUCGACGGCGGUGUUUGGCACCUCGAUGUCGGCUCAUCACAUCCUGGGGCUGAAGUAGGUCCCAAGGGUAUGGCUGUUCGCCAUUUAAAGUGGUACGCGAGCUGGGUUUAGAACGUCGUGAGACAGUUCGGUCCCUAUCUGCCGUGGGCGCUGGAGAAUUGAGGGGGGCUGCUCCUAGUACGAGAGGACCGGAGUGGACGCAUCACUGGUGUUCGGGUUGUCAUGCCAAUGGCACUGCCCGGUAGCUAAAUGCGGAAGAGAUAAGUGCUGAAAGCAUCUAAGCACGAAACUUGCCCCGAGAUGAGUUCUCCCUGAGACUUUAAGUCUCCUGAAGGAACGUUGAAGACGACGACGUUGAUAGGCCGGGUGUGUAAGCGCAGCGAUGCGUUGAGCUAACCGGUACUAAUGAACCGUGAGGCUUAACCUUACAACGCCGAAG